GACGAACGCUGGCGGCGUGCUUAACACAUGCAAGUCGAACGGUAAGGCCCUUCGGGGUACGCGAGUGGCGAACGGGUGAGUAACACGUGGGUGAUCUGCCCUGCACUUCGGGAUAAGCCUGGGAAGCUGGGUCUAAUACCGGAUAGGACCACUGCCUGCAUGGGUGGUGGUGGAAAGCUUUGGCGGUGUGGGAUGGGCCCGCGGCCUAUCAGCUUGUUGGUGGGGUGAUGGCCUACCAAGGCGACGACGGGUAGCCGGCCUGAGAGGGUGACCGGCCACACUGGGACUGAGAUACGGCCCAGACUCCUACGGGAGGCAGCAGUGGGGAAUAUUGCACAAUGGGCGCAAGCCUGAUGCAGCGACGCCGCGUGAGGGAUGACGGCCUUCGGGUUGUAAACCUCUUUCAGCACCGACGAAGCGCAAGUGACGGUAGGUGCAGAAGAAGGACCGGCCAACUACGUGCCAGCCGCCGCCGUAA
rnacentral:rRNA from 1 species